CCCCGUCUUUGUGCGGCUGACUACCGGCGCCGUGUCCCGUCGUUCGUGUGGCUUAUGUUACUGUUGCCUUUAAAGUGCUUGCGUGCUGGUACCCGAACUACGGGUAGUGGUGCUUUGUACUCGGUUGCCUCGCGGUGGACACCUUUGGGUGUGCCGCUGCGGCCAAAUGGCGGUUGCGGUGUUUCCUCGUUGUGUCGGCACGUUUACUCUGCCGGUGCUAUCAAGGCAACCUCGCUCCCGCUGUUGGUCUCGGAUGUUGCCUACGUUAAAGUCUCUUGGCCCAUUUCGGUUGCCUUGACCCGACCCUAAGAAGCUCUCCGAAUUGAGAACAACCGGAACAGGUGUUGCCUCUACCUCUCCACAGUUAGUGGUAGGAUUACGCAACAUUCUGCGCCGAUCCUCAAACAAGUAGGAACGAGCUUGGCCCGCUCA
rnacentral:misc_RNA from 1 species